CCUGCCUUUCUGUGCGGAAGACUGAGCCUCUCCUUUGUGUAACAGGCAGCAAGGAAGGUUUUAACAGGACUGUGUGACCAGUCUAGAUGUAAAUUUCAGAGAUACAGGAGGACUAUGAGGAGGAAGAAAAGCAGGAGGGAACAAGUUGAGUCUUCUUCCUUCAUCCAGGAUUCCAAAACAGGGGGAUGUGGAGAAAGGACAAUGUAUGCGAAAGCCUGCAGACGUGCACACAGUAUGGAACACAGUUACAGAAAUAGAGUGUCUGAGGCUCGCUCGACCCGCUGCGCCUUGGGAGAGAAGAUGAACCCCAUAAGGGGAGCCGGGAGAGAAGAAACCAGAUGAAUAUUCAGGUGCCCUGGGGACAGAGGUGUGACCUGUGCCUGGUGGGUCGGAGACACAGCCAGAGCCUUGGCUGAGUCUAAAAAGCCAGGCCUACUCACUCACAUUCCACUCGCAACAGUGGCUUCUGAUUUCACCGUACAAGUGCUCGCUCUGUGCCCCAGGGGAAUCCCAUGGCCAGCUGUGAAGGCAGGAAGAGGAGAAUCAAGCAUGAAGCCAGCCUCCAGGGCAGCAGCUGAUGCUGAGCAAGUGGGUGAGGGAUCGACACAGCCGGCCGGCCGCUCACAUCCACCUAUCCAUCCAUCACUCACGUAUACACCCAUUUCUCCCAACUGCUCCUUCUCUUUAAGGAGUUCUCUUUAUAUUAUUUUAAUUUUUAAGACUGGGUCUCUCUAUGUAGCCUUGGCUCUCCUGGCAGUCUCCAUGCAGAGCAGGCUGGCCUCGAACUCACAGAGAUCUGCCUGCCUUUGCCAACCAAGUGCUGGGGUUAAUGGUGUGUGCCACCAUACCCAGACCAAAGAUUUAUUUUCCCUGCCCCCACACUCCCCGGCUCUGAGGGUCUUACACUUGUUAGGCAAUCAAUCAGUCUAUCACUGAGCUAAAGCCCCAACCCCAAGAUUUCUGUUUUUAUUAAAAAAAUAUUAAUUUUAUAAGUGUUUUGCCUUCAUGUAUGUAUGUGUACCACAUAUGUACAUAUCUGAUGUUCACAAAGCCCAGAAGAGGGCAUUGGAUGCCUUGGAACUGGAGUUUCAGGUGGUUGGAAGUCACCAUGUAGGUGCUAGGAAUCAAACCCAGGGUCCUCGGUAAGAACAAGUGCUCUGAACCAUCGAGGCACGUCUCCAAGGCCCCUAAAGACUGCCUUUUCUUUUUAUUUACACAGAUGCGUAUGGUGUUUCCCUCAGAAACAAGAAGGCACCAGAUCCCUAGAAUGGCGUUCCAGGUGGUUGUGAGCUACCACGUGGGUCCUGGGAAUCAAACCCUAGUCCUCUGCAGGAGCAGCAAGUGUUCCCAGCCCCUUCUCCAGCCCCUCCCUCCAAUGAUGCAUUUCAUCCAUUUGCCUGUAUUUGUGCGUUGUGUCUGCCUAUGCAUGUACCAUGGUGUGUCUAUGGAGGCUGGAGGACAGCUAGCAAGAGCCACUUCUCGUCUUACAUAGCGGUCCCAGGGCUGGAACUCAGGUUGGGAAGUUUGUUGGCACGUGCCUUUGCCUGCCGAGCCAUCUUGCUGGUCCUCUAGUUAUUGAUUUUGCAUAUACCCGAAUGAAUACCUUCUGUGUGCCAUCGCUGUCCUGAGUGGACUCCGCAGGGGACAGAGCAGAUACAGUCCGUGCCUUUAUGGGACUUCCGUGCUGGGAGGAGGUAGCAGAGCAGUUGUGGCGAAUGCAGAUAAGAACUAAUGAGGGGAGGGUGCCAGACAGGAGCCCAGUGGCACAGACCUCUAGUCUCAGAGCCUCACAAGUGGAGGCAGGGGCAUGGCAGUGUGAGGUCUGCUUGAACUAGAGUGAGUUCUAGGCUUGCCCAGGCAGCUUAGUGAGACCUUGGCUCAUAACACAAAGAGAGGCCUGGGGUUGGAGCUCAGUGGUAGAGUGCUUACACGGCACACAAGAGGGCCUGGGUUCAGCUCCUGGUCUCUCUCUUACACACACACUCACUCACACAAACACACUUAUACACACAUAUACACAAACACACACACAAACACACACUAAUGCAUAUACACAAAUACACACAUACACAAACACACACACUCACACAUACAUAAAAACACAUGCACACACAAACACACAUAUAUACACUCAUAAAUAUACAAACACACACUCACACAUACAUACACUUACACAAACACACUCACAUACACACACUCUCAUGCAAACACUCACACAAACACAUAAACACACUCACAUAAAUGAAAGCACACACACUCAAACACAAAGAAACACACACUUACACACACAUCCAUACACAUAAACACACAAACACAUACACACACACAAACAGGCAAACUCACACACAUAAAAACACAUACACACAAACACACUUACACAUACACACGCUCACACAAAUACACACACUCGCACACACAUGCAAGCACACACACUCAAACACAAAGAAACACACACACACAUCCAUACACAUCCAUGCACAGACACAAACAUACAUACUCACAUACAUGCAAACACAUACAUGCACACACACAGAGACACACAGCACAAAGGGGACAGAAACUGGGGGGUGAGGGCCAAGUUUGAACGCACGCCCAGAGAAAGCCUCUCUGAGGUGACCUCUGAGUGCAGACUCAGAGGAAAUAACUGCUGUGCAGAUGUUUCCACAGCUGUGACUGGUGCUCAGUUCUCCUGUCUCAGAGACAAGAAAAAGGGGGUCUGGAAUAAAAUGGCUUGUUUCAAGUUACCUCGGAAAUGCCUGGGACAGUGGACGGGCACUGGACAGUACUCAGGCGUGGAGUCUGUCACUAGAGACACUGGCACAACCAUCCUUGACUGCCUGACAUCCACCUUGCUUCUCUCCCUCACUAAAGCCAGAUUUCUUUUUUUUUUCUUUCUUUCUUUCUUUUUUUUUUUUUUUUUUUGGUUUUUCGAGACAGAGUUUCUCUGUAUAGCCCUGGCUGUUCUGGAACUCACUUUGUACACCAGGCUGGCCUCGAACUCAGAAAUCCGCCUGCCUGCCUCCCGAUCAAAGGCGUGCACCACCACGCCUGGCUUAAAGCCAGAUUUCUAAAGUCCCACAAUAGUCAUGGGCAAGGGGGUAAGGAAGGACCAGGAUGGGCAGGGGCUGGGGAAGGUGUGGUCAGGGUCCUCUUAGCUCACUCAGGGUUAAGAGGAUAUGAGGAAUGAUUCUACAUGCCCCCAUCCUGAAGAUGUUAGGUGGUCAGAGGAAGAGAGGGAAGGAUCUAUGCCCGUCUGCAAGCCCACAAGACAGACAUCAACCAUGGGGACCAAGUGGAACCCUCUGUCUACUCAGCCCUACCCAGUCCUGUAGAGGUAACCGGAUGCCCCCAGAGCUGGAAGCCACUGGCGCUAACAGUUCCGGCAACAGUAGCCCUAGUGUCCUUCUGUGGGUGGCUCAGAACUGAGAAUUAAGUUUGAAGGGGACCAAAGGGGACUGUCCCUACUCUACCCUUUCCCUUCCUUCUUCCCCCAUAAAGGGAAACAUUAGAAAAAGGACUCAGAGGGCUGAGGCAGAGUAAGUCAGGCUGCGGAGCCUCAGCUCACUAAAUCCAUUCUCCACCCACCUCAAGCUGAGAUGGCUCUGGGCCCCCAGAAGACAGAAAGGAAGGGAGAGAGAGAGAGAGAGAGAGAGAGAGAGAGAGAGAGAGAGAGAGAGAGAGAGAGAGAGAGAGAGACUUCACCUCCACUCUCCUCAUCCAACUUCACAUGUGACACUGGGGGUUGCUCAAUGAGUUCUGUGGCUGACUCACAGAGCCAGCCAGAGCCACAGAUGACAUUCGACAUUCACAAAGCACCAAAGAGGGAAGAGCCUUCCAUGACUUGCAAGCUCCCUGGUGGCGGGCCUGGGAUCUCAGGAGAGAGGCACAAGAUGUGUUGUGUUUGGGAAUCUGCUUUCUAAAAAACGCCCUUUACUGGCACCUAAUGAUCCAGAAGUAAAGGUGUUUGUUAUGUGA